AUAAAGUUUAGAGGAGGCAGUGGCUGAGUGGUUAGAGUGCCGGGGCCGCGUCCUGGAGAUCCAGGAGGGACGUGGGUACGAAUCCUGGCAGCCACACAGCUGGGAUUUUUCAGUCACCGCCGAGUGGCCUAAGACUGCCCACAAUAUGCUGCCCUGAUGACCACCUAUCAACCCGGACUCUAGAUUACCUCUCCAAUGAGAGGCUCAAAGAUGAGCUCCGGGGGGCAGUAUGAGCCAAAAACAAUAUGGCGCUACUAUAAAUAUUCGCCUGCGCUACAACGGGCUGGGCUGACCAUCAGGCCUCACCAGUAAAUAGAUUAACGGCGCAAUAUUCCGCGACGUAAAAAAAAAAUGCUAUACCUGCGCGUGGUCUCGGUGCCCAUCUGUUUCGUUGGUCCUUGAUCCUGUGGUUAGUAUAUAAGAACCACUUACCCCGGGCAAAGGGUUGUUGUGACAUUCGGGUCACUACAGUUUACCUUUCCCAGAUUUUACCAUGUAUUGACCUGCCUCAAAGGGAAAAUGAACAGCUGAGUGAGCUGUACACCGACGCCCGGGCCGGGAUAUGAACCCGGUGUGGUGUCAUCUGCCAUCACCGUAUCGUGAGACAUCCCGCUAUGAUAUGCGCAUGGGCGGAACCCGACGUUUACAAACACAGAGCUGAUAUUGUAGUUUGUCCAGGCAAGAUGGCGACAAGACAGCAUCGCAGUUUUUAUGGGAAAAUGGCCAAAUUCAAGGAUGACAUGGACCCCAUAAUUCAGAUACUAUUAGAUGGAGGGUAUCCGAGAAACAUGACCAUCAAUGAGAAAAGACUAUUUUAUCUCAUUUAUCCCAUUUACCGACAUACAAGGGGUGUAGGUUAUCUCAUUUAUCACAUUUACCGACAUACAAGGGGUGCAAGUUGUCUCAUUUAUCACAUUUACCGACAUACAAGGGUGCAGGUUAUCUCAUUUAUCACAUUUACCGACAUACAAGGGGUGCAAGUUGUCUCAUUUAUCACAUUUACCGACAUACAAGGGGUGCAAGUUAUCUCAUUUAUCACAUUUACCGACAUACAAGGGGUGUAGGUUAUCUCAUUCAUCACAUUUGCCUACAUGCAAGGGGUGCAGGUUAUCUCAUUUAUCACAUUUACCGACAUACAAGGGGUGUAGGUUAUCUCAUUCAUCACAUUUGCCUACAUGCAAGGGGUGCAGGUUAUCUCAUUUAUCACAUUUACCGACAUACAACGGGUGUAGGUUAUCUCAUUCAUCACAUUUACUGUACAAGGGAUGCAGGUUAUCUCAUUUAUCACAUUUAUCGACAUAAAAGGGGUGCAGGUUAUCUCAUUUAUCACAUUUAUCGACAUAAAAGGGGUGCAGGUUAUCUCAUUUAUCACAUUUACCGACAUAUAAGGGAUGCAGGUUAUCUCAUUUAUCACAUUUACUGACAUAUAAGGGAUGCAGGUUAUCUCAUUUAUCACAUUUACCGACACACUAGGGGUGUAGGUUAUUUAAUUUAUGACAUUUACCGACAUACAAGGGUGCAGGUUAUCUCAUUUAUCACAUUUACCGACAUACAAGGGGUGUAGUUUAUCUCAUUUAUCACAUUUACUGAUGACAUACAUGGGGUGCAGGUUAUCUCAUUUAUCACAUUUGCCGACACACAAGGGGUGCAGGUUAUCUCAUUUAUCACAUUUACUGACAAACAAGGGGUACAGGUUAUCUCAUUUAUCACAUUUACUGACAAACAAGAGGUACAGGUUAUCUCAUUUAUCACAUUUACCGACAUACAAGGGGUGCAGGUUAUCUCAUUUAUCACAUUUACUGACAUACAAGGGGUACAGGUUAUCUCAUUUAUCACAUUUACUGACAAACAAGAGGUACAGGUUAUCUCAUUUAUCACAUUUACCGACAUACAAGGGGUACAGGUUAUCUCAUUUAUCACAUUUACCGACAUACAAAGGGUGCAGGUUAUCUCACUUUUCAAAUUUACUGACAUACAAGGGUGUAUAAGGUUAUCUCAUUUAUCACAUUUACCGACAUUCAAGGGGUGCAGGUUAUCUCUUUUAUCACAUUUACUGAUAUACAAAGGGUGCAGGAAGAGACAUAUUUCAAUCAGUUUUCAAAUUCAAAACAUACUUAUCAUUUACUUUAAAAAAAAAUAUAUACAUAAAAAAUAAACUUGGGUGGGAGGUAUCACAAUAGGCAGUCCAAAAGACACAGUACCUUGCCGAAAUUCAUCCACCCUCUGUUUAUAAACAAAGCCCGCGCAUGCGCGACUCAGGCAGGGAUGUGUCUCAAUAUGUGGAUGGCAGACGACGCCACACCGGGCCCGCAGAUUUGUAUCUGGGCAUGCUAACCACUUCACCAUAGACGCGCCCGUGUAUAUAUAUAUAUAUAUAUAUAUAUAUAUAUAUAUAUAUAUAUAUAUAUAUAUAUAUAUAUAUAUAUAUAUAUAUAUAUAUAUAUAUAUAGCGUGGGGAUUUGAACCGACUUUAUCGAUGGUGCGGUGAAUGCGGGGCCCGCACGCUAACCACUCAGCCACCGCCUAACCAACUAAGCAAAAGAUUUAAUGUUUUCGCUUUCCAAGGUCAUAAUUGGUAAUUGAGAACUGUCUAGCUAAGAUCAUGGACACUGUCCCAGCUCUGCAGUGCAUGAGAAGUUGCACUCUUACAAUUACUACCCUGCAUUGGCUAAAGAAACAGGGGAAUACUGGAAAAGAUUCACACAACUACUAUUCCAAUUUCGACUCCAUAACUUUCCUUUUUUUCUUUCUUUUUUUAAUAUGAAAUCUCAAGACCUUCCAAUAAUAGUUAUUCUCACUUUCCCUUAAUUUAUUGCUAAUUCUAAAAUACAUGUAAUACUGUACCUUAUAAUCUUACGGAUAUGUAAUCAAAAUAAAAUAUCGGUAUUGGUAUCAACCAUUUGUUUAGUAACGGAGUAUCGGUAUAGGUAUCGGCUGAAAAGUGAGUAUCGGCACCCGCUGAAAAGUGAGUAUAGGCACCCGCUGAAAAGUGAGUAUCGGCACCCGCUGAAAAGUGAGUAUCGGCACCCGCUGAAAAGUGAGUAUCGGCACCCGGUGGAAAGUGAGUAUCGGCACCCGCUGGAAAGUGAGUAUCGGCACCCGCUGAAAAAUGAGUAUCGGCACCCGGUGGAAAGUGAGUAUCGGCACCCGCUGAAAAAUGAGUAUCGGCACCCGCUGGAAAGUGAGUAUCGGCACCCGCUGAAAAAUGAGUAUCGGCACCCGCUGAAAAAUGAGUAUCGGCACCCGGUGGAAAGUGAGUAUCGGCACCCGCUGGAAAGUGAGUAUCGGCACCCGGUGGAAAGUGAGUAUCGGCACCCGCUGAAAAAUGAGUAUCGGCACCCGCUGGAAAGUGAGUAUCGGCACCCGCUGA